GAUGAACGCUGGCGGCGUGCCUAAUACAUGCAAGUCGAGCGAACAGACGAUGAGCUUGCUCCUCUGACGUUAGCGGCGGACGGGUGAGUAACACGUGGAUAACCUACCUAUAAGACUGGGAUAACUUCGGGAAACCGGAGCUAAUACCGGAUAAUAUAUUGAACCGCAUGGUUCAAUAGUGAAAGACGGUUUUGCUGUCACUUAUAGAUGGAUCCGCGCCGCAUUAGCUAGUUGGUAAGGUAACGGCUUACCAAGGCAACGAUGCGUAGCCGACCUGAGAGGGUGAUCGGCCACACUGGAACUGAGACACGGUCCAGACUCCUACGGGAGGCAGCAGUAGGGAAUCUUCGGCAAUGGGCGAAAGCCUGACGGAGCAACGCCGCGUGAAUGAUGAAGGUCUUCGGAUCGUAAAACUCUGUUAUUAGGGAAGAACAAAUGUGUAAGUAACUAUGCACGUCUUGACGGUACCUAAUCAGAAAGCCACGGCUAACUACGUG
rnacentral:rRNA from 1 species